GCAUACGAUCUAAGGAUGAAAGUGGGGGAUCGCAAGACCUCAUGCUCGUGGAGCGGCCGAUAUCUGAUUAGCUAGUUGGUAGGGUAAAAGCCUACCAAGGCAUCGAUCAGUAGCUGGUCUGAGAGGACGACCAGCCACACUGGAACUGAGACACGGUCCAGACUCCUACGGGAGGCAGCAGUGGGGAAUUUUGGACAAUGGGCGAAAGCCUGAUCCAGCAAUGCCGCGUGAGUGAAGAAGGCCUUCGGGUUGUAAAGCUCUUUUGUCAGGGAAGAAACGGUGAGAGCUAAUAUCUCUUGCUAAUGACGGUACCUGAAGAAUAAGCACCGGCUAACUACGUGCCAGCAGCCGCGGUAAUACGUAGGGUGCAAGCGUUAAUCGGAAUUACUGGGCGUAAAGCGUGCGCAGGCGGUUUUGUAAGUCUGAUGUGAAAUCCCCGGGCUCAACCUGGGAAUUGCAUUGGAGACUGCAAGGCUAGAAUCUGGCAGAGGGGGGUAGAAUUCCACGUGUAGCAGUGAAAUGCGUAGAUAUGUGGAGGAACACCGAUGGCGAAGGCAGCCCCCUGGGUCAAGAUUGACGCUCAUGCACGAAAGCGUGGGGAGCAAACAGGAUUAGAUACCCUGGUAGUCCACGCCCUAAACGAUGUCUACUAGUUGUCGGGUCUUAAUUGACUUGGUAACGCAGCUAACGCGUGAAGUAGACCGCCUGGGGAGUACGGUCGCAAGAUUAAAACUCAAAGGAAUUGACGGGGACCCGCACAAGCGGUGGAUGAUGUGGAUUAAUUCGAUGCAACGCGAAAAACCUUACCUACCCUUGACAUGGCUGGAAUCCUCGAGAGAUUGGGGAGUGCUCGAAAGAGAAC
rnacentral:rRNA from 1 species